UACGUAGGGGGCUAGCGUUGUCCGGAAUCAUUGGGCGUAAAGAGCUCGUAGGCGGUUUGUCGCGUCUGCCGUGAAAGUCCGGGGCUCGACUCCGGAUCUGCGGUGGGUACGGGCAGACUAGAGUGAUGUAGGGGAGACUGGAAUUCCUGGUGUAGCGGUGAAAUGCGCAGAUAUCAGGAGGAACACCGAUGGCGAAGGCAGGUCUCUGGGCAUUAACUGACGCUGAGGAGCGAAAGCAUGGGGAGCGAACAGG
rnacentral:rRNA from 1 species